rnacentral:misc_RNA from 1 species
GGAUCUUUUGGACCCAUUUGUCUGCUGGGACCUGCUGGAACACAAGCAAAGCCUAGUAAAAUUGGGCAUUGGCCUAUAUUCAUGCCAAAGUGAGUCAUGUAUACAUUAAGUAUACAAUGUAUACGGGACUUAUGCUUCGUCUCUGCCCUGUUUUUUUAAUUUUUAACCUGUAGCUACUGUGUUUCAAUCCAUAUUUUCAUAUUUUUUUGUGACCUGUAUAUCAUUAUUUUCGCAGUAUAUACCAUUUUAUAUUGUUGUGUACAGACUGUAUACAACCAGCUUUUGGGCUUUUGGGACUUGAAAUUCAAUCUCCAGCAUGUAGAUUGCCUCCGAUUCACUCAAACAAGAUGAGGAUGACUCAGAAGAAAUUCAGCUCGAUGCAAGGAUGGAGUCUGAUAGACUCAGAUGGUGUCACA